UCUGCACCCAACCCAAGAACUACCGCUGUUUCUAGCGGCUGUUUAAACAAUGGUGCACACAGCAAAAGGGGCUUUGUCACCUUUGGGGGCCUGUGCGGUAAACCCCAGAGUGAAUCAGGAGGUUCCACAGGC
ensembl:snoRNA small nucleolar RNA SNORA68